UACAGAGGUCUCAAGCGUUGUUCGGAUUCAUUGGGCGUAAAGGGCGCGUAGGCGGCCCUCCUUGUCGCGUGUGAAAGCCCCGGGCUCAACCUGGGAAUUGCGCGCGAAACGGGCGGGCUUGAGUUCGGGAGAGGAGCGUGGAAUUCCCAGUGUAGAGGUGAAAUUCGUAGAUAUUGGGAAGAACACCGGUGGCGAAGGCGGCCAACUGGACGAAUACUGACGCUGAGACACGAAAGCGUGGGGAGCAAACAGG
rnacentral:rRNA from 1 species